rnacentral:rRNA from 1 species
CCUACGGGUGGCAGCAGUGGGGGAUAUUGGACAAUGGGGGAAACCCUGAUCCAGCGACGCCGCGUGAGUGAAGAAGUAUUUCGGUAUGUAAAGCUCUGUCAGCAGGGAAGAAAGAAAUGACGGUACCUGACCAAGAAGCCCCGGCUAACUACGUGCCAGCAGCCGCGGUAAUACGUAGGGGGCAAGCGUUAUCCGGAAUUACUGGGUGUAAAGGGAGCGUAGACGGUGAUGCAAGUCUGGAGUGAAAGGCGGGGGCCCAACCCCCGGACUGCUCUGGAAACUGUGUAACUUGAGUGCAGGGGAGGUAAGCGGAAUGCCUAGUGUAGCGGUGAAAUGCGUAGAUAUUGGGAGGAACACCAGUGGCGAAGGCGGCUUACUGGACUGUAACUGACGUUGAGGCUCGAAGGCGUGGGGAGCAAACAGGAUUAGAUACCCUUGUAGUC